CGGGAUGGACAUCUGCCGCAUUCGAAAAGACAAAUCCUCUGUUUUUAGGAAUUAAUAAAUAAUAAUAUGAAUAUAAUUGAAUAAGAGGUUAUAUAUUUAUUAAUGUAUUCCUCCCUGCACUCGGAGCUCCGAGGGUAGACCGAGUGCGCGCGACCUGUCCUCGUCUUCGCGGCCACGCGCUCGUUGUCCUGACAACCAGCCUCGCGCGCAGGCGCUGUUCCCAGGUGAGCCGAGCGGUGGCGUGGUCGAGUCAUGAGUUUAUUACUAUAGUAUAUCGUCCUCACAACUUUAUUAUUUAAGAGAAGUGUAAAUAAACGUGAUGUAUAUCUUAUGUCAUGUACAGAACGCGUUAUAAGCGUCAGGAGCUUCAUUACUGAAUUGUGGCGCGCGCGUGAGUGAGAUGUUCUGGAGGUAAAAACCCAGUUUCUUCUGAGUUCUAACAAUAACUGAACUGAACACUGUCCUGAGCCCAGCUUGGGCUGAACAUCAGGAGCAUUAGAACCAGAAGAAGAGAGAAGGUCAGAAGACACUCAGAUGCUGAAGACACGUAAAUACACGACGUGUCAUUUCCACUCUCCACGUGAUCAUCGUUCUUGUCUUUUUGUGUUGCGUGUAUUAAAGUCACUCUGGACUUUACACGCAUGUGUAUUGUGUGAUGGUGUUUUCAGAACAAUGCAACAGAUGAAACUAAAAUAAACAAUAAAUAUGAUUCAGUAAAGUUUUUCUUCUCACAGCCUCAGAGACUCUUCACCAGGAGGUCCAUGUAGAACAUCCAGUGGUCAGUGUGAGAGAAUCGACUCAAAGCUCCACAGUGUAACUGCUCUAAUACACGAUACACACAUUAAUAUGGUUCUGAUAAGCAGACACACACAUGAACAUGAAUAGAACAUCUGGAGUUGUGUGAUUACACCACAUACAGAUGUUAUCACUGAGGGUGUACUUACUUUAGUUGGCGGUUCUUUAGACAAUAACGUCUGUAUGUUGUUAUUUUCAGAGUGUGUGUGUGUGUGUGUGUGUGUGUGUGUGUGUGUGUGUGUGUGUGUGUGUGUGUGUGUUCAAGGGAAGGCCUAAAUUAGUCACAUGUUCUGCAUUGUGUAGAUGAUGUUUCUUUAUGCUUUUGUUCAGAAAUCCAUGAUGUUGUGCAGAAGAUACAGCUGACACACUGGAGAUCUCACCAUCUUCUGAGGCCAGUGCUGAUCUGGAGUGAGGUCCAUGUGCUGCUCAAGGAAGUGGACCUUUCAGGGGUUAUGCUCUAAUCAGCAUAGUAUCAGCAAAUAGUGUGAUUUUAAGAGGAAUUCUACAACAUCUAAAAGAAAUCCAGUGUUUCCACAUGUGAGAUUAAUGACAUCAUUAGACCCAAACUGCACAAUGAGAACAAGGUCUUCAAAAACCCAAACUUCUCUGAAUAAUGA